AAGUGCAGAGAUCAAUCAAUCAAUUAGCGGUAGGACGGCCCCAUAGCAACACAAACAGUCCACACAAAGGGCGCCAUUUUUCCAUUGAACGCCUACAAUGUGUGCAAUGAUGUACACAAUAAAUGCUAGACGCUUUCACUAGCGCUAACCCGGGGGUUUCAACUAGAAAAGAACGAAGUAAUACUUCAGUAGUCACUGCGUCUCUCUGUAUGGGGUUAAUUUAGUGCAAAAUUUGACCCAGAACUAAAGGGACGAAAAUGUCGAACGAAAAUGAGCCAGACGAGCAAACGGAAGAGGCAGAAAUGGAGUUUGUAACGGACGAGAAUGCCAACAAGACACCGGCGGGAAGUCGGGCCCCGAGCCGGGCCAAGAGCCGUGGAAGUAUCGGUGAUGAACGCAAGACAAUAACGAGGAAGGGUGGUCGCUCGACAGCUCGGCCAGAGAGCAGACUGUCUGGAGUGGAUGAUAACGAAUCCCCAGUUGAUGAAAUGGCCCAAUCAGAGACAACGUACAGUGAGAGCAGUGGUUUUGAUACGGACCUCGAGGUGGAAGAAACCAUUUUGGCACUGAGACGAAAUGUUCGGGAAGCGUAUGACGCAUCCGGUAAAUCAACGUACAAAGAAGCGUGUCGGCUGAACGGUGUGAUUCCUGUAUCCUACUUCCUAAGACACAUAGCUGAUUCUGAGUUGACGAUGAAGCAUCAUGGUCUCGGACCUGCUGGAGCCAAGGCUAUCGCUAUAUCCCUGGUGACUAACACGACAAUCUGUAAGCUGAACCUGAGUGAUAAUUGGCUGGAUGCUGUAGGAGGAGUUGCCAUUGCUGAUAUGCUCAAAGAAAACUGCUACAUUACUGAUCUGGACCUUUCUGAGAAUAAAUUGGGUAACACCGGUGCCAAAGCUCUGAGUGAAAUGCUUCUACAGAACAGCACAUUAACACAUCUCACAUUAAAAGGAAACAGUUUUGAAGACAAGAGUGCAGAAUAUUUUGCUGAGGUUCUUUUGAACAACAGCAAAGUUGAGUACUUAAAUCUGAGCCACAAUGAAUUCAGUGAGGCUGCCGGUCUGCUGCUUGGCCCAGCAAUCUCAGAAAAUAUCAGCAUCCGACAUAUCGACCUGAGCUGGAAUCACGUCAGAAGGAAAGGAGCAUUAGCUCUGGCUAGAGGCAUCAUGAACAAUAUCGGUCUGAAGAUCAUGAACCUCUCCUGGAAUGGCUUUGGCAAUGAAGGAGCUCAGGCAUUAGGUGAAGCACUCAAGAUGAAUAGUUCCUUGGAAGAACUGGACAUCACGAAUAACAGAAUGUCUGGUGAAGGAGCAGUUUUCCUGGGGAAAGGUUUGAGCAAUAAUGAGACGCUCAAGAUUCUGAGAAUCGGGAAGAACCCCAUGCAAACUGCAGGAGCAUUCGCCAUCUUAAAAGCCAUCAAAGAUAACACUAACACUAUCAUGGAUGAACUGGAUUUUUCAGGGAUCCAAGUCAACAAAGAAUUUGAAGAUCUUUACAAUCAGUUAAAGGAAACACGGCCAAGCAUCAAGGUCCAUCACGGCGGCAUGAAGGAGACCGUCAAACCCAAACAGAAGCUCAACCCGAUGCUCAAACUCCAACGCUACAUCCAGAAGAACAACUUACGCUUGGUGGAUUUCUUCAACAAGUUUGAUAAAGAUGGAAGUAUGAGUGUGACAUAUGACGAGUUUGAAGAAGGACUCAUAGAGAGUGGUAUAGACCUUUCCAAAGAAGAGAUAGCGUUUAUGAUUGCUGAAUUGGACAAAGAUGGCGACGGUGAAAUCAACUACAGUUCCAUCUACCGAUCUGUCUUAGUGCAUGAUCGUGGGGCACGGCAACCAGCCAUGUUUUGCACUGGUUCCCUACAGUCAGCAGCAGCUAUCACUAUAGCGUUAACAUUCAGCUCUGUUAAUCCUCUCUUCUCAACCUAAACAAACUUCAUCUUAUUCACAUCGUCUUGCUACUUUGCUCGACUCCUUUUGCCCAUAUUGCAUGCUAUAUGGUGUUAGGCCUCAGCACCAGGUGACCCCGCCCCCUUCCAUUGCUUUGCCCCUCCCACUCAUGACCCUUAACCUUUGACACAGUCAG
rnacentral:misc_RNA from 1 species